GCAUCGGUGGUUCUGUGGUAGAAUUCUCGCCUGCCACGCGGGAGACCCGGGUCCGAUUCCCGGCCAAUGCA
rnacentral:tRNA from 1 species